AGUGAACGCUGGCGGUAGGCCUAACACAUGCAAGUCGAACGGCAGCACAGUAAGAGCUUGCUCUUACGGGUGGCGAGUAGCGGACGGGUGAGGAAUACAUCGGAAUCUACUUUUUCGUGGGGGAUAACGUAGGGAAACUUACGCUAAUACCGCAUACGACCUACGGGUGAAAGCAGGGGAUCUUCGGACCUUGCGCGAUUGAACGAGCCGAUGUCGGAUUCGCUAGUUGGCGGGGGAAAGGCCCACCAAGGCGACGAUCCGUAGCUGGUCUGAGAGGAUGGUAAGCCACACUGGAACUGAGACACGGUCCAGACUCCUACGGGAGGCAGCAGUGGGGAAUAUUGGACAAUGGGCGCAAGCCUGAUCCAGCCAUACCGCGUGGGUUAAGAAGGCCUUCGGGUUGUAAAGCCCUUUUGUUGGGAAAGAAAAGCAGCAGGUUAAUACCCCGCUGUUCUGACGGUACCCAAAGAAUAAGCACCGGCUAACUUCGUG
rnacentral:rRNA from 1 species